CGAGGACGUGUUACUCUUGGUCUGUCUUCUAAAGCGCUUAGAUAUCUCGUAAAGACGAUUUGCGAAGGCCAUAGAGGUGAUCAAUCGGAUUCUCAUGGAUGUCUUUCCCAUUGAUGACGCAGAGUCACUGUUACUACAAUCGUCCCGCAGUCUGAUGUCGGGGCGGGACGUUGUCAGAAUCCGGCUGUAGUAAAGGUGUUGCUCGAAGCCGUCCACGUGCUCCCCUGCGUUGCCUGCGUGGAAGGUUCUGGACACCUCGGGGGACACUACGUCACGUCCCCGCUGCGCCCUCGCCUUCAUCAGCCACCAGUCCCAAUCACCGGGCUGUAGUGGGGCAGGAGAUUAUACUGUAGUGGGAUCCAGUUAGUGAUGACCUGCCUCGCGUAGCUCCGUCGCACCAUCCACCCAUACAUCGGGAAGCUCUCCGAUCUCAGCAGCUGCGAGGCGUCGGCGGCCGUGUCAGGGAGGCUGUUACUAUUAAAGGCGUUGACGCAGAACACAGUUGGGUCGUUGUCCAGCACCCAUGCGGCCUGGUGGAAGAAACUGACCCGUUCAUAAAAGAGUGGAAUGUGCAGCUGCGUGAAACAGAGACGUGCACUGCUCACCUCGACCUCUCAGCUGUGUUACGGUGCUCAGGCGGAGACUUUUUGGUGACGGCAGCCCCACCUGGAGUGUUGCAGCCGCCUCAGCCACCACGCCUCUGCCCGUGACAGCCACGCCCACCCAAGGCUCGCCCCACGCCAUUCUGGAGCACCAUCGAAAUCCUAAGGAAUCCAGUGCCUUCGCUCCUGCUUGACCCAGAAACAAAGAAAAUUCUGGCUGAAAGUAAAAGAGAUAAGCACAUAAGAAUGUAAGAACAUGUAGGACACUGCAAGAAAUCUAUAUGCCUUUACGUGGAAGUAUGAAACAUGCAUACUUUAUAUCCACCUAUCAUCCCUAU